GGCAUACACAUACACCCGUCCUGCCUUCUCCGUUCGCUCUCAAUCCUCCGCGAAACCGCUGCUCUCCAGUCUCCACCUUGAAAAACCCUACUCCUGCUCGAGGAAUCCGCCGCCGCGCCCUCCAUCAGAUCCAGUCAUCCAGGCACCACUGCGUUGCGCGGGCUACCCCCUCGCCGAUUCCCACACUAACCAUGUGAUCCGGAUAAUUCCGGGUGCUCUUCUGUUCGCCCGUUGUAUCCCCACCGGGGACCGGGGCUAGACAGGUAACAAAUCUGCGGCGCCCUCGGUUGCCGAUUCCGGUCGGCGGCACAAGGAGCUACGGUGCUAACCUCAGUUCGUAUGCUUGCCUUUUCUUGUUCGCAUCUCGUGUCUUCAUCUUUCCUUCCUUUUGUUAUCGGCCACCCGGUUUUCUUAUGGAUAUUUGGUUUGUCUGAGGCCUGGAUCUAUGAGGUAGUAGAGAUGCGGUAAUAUAUUGCGGAUAGUUUAGGGUUUCCGUCUCAUUUCCGAGCUUAGUAUAUGAUUAAUUUAUGUUUCUCGUGGGAUUCUGAUCUGCCAGCCUGAUGAUUAGCAUUGUUUGCACAAAGAACGGAGAUCUGAAUGCGCUUCCUCGUCGAAGCCCGCUUGACUGUUUCUCAUGGCAGGCAGGCUUGCUCCGGUCCGGUCCGUGACAAACUACCAUUCCCCCUCCGUUCUGCUAUGUUUGGUGUAGUUUUCCUCCCUGAGAGGAAAAUUGCAACCACACACACACGCAGAUGCAUGCAUGCAUGCAUAUAUAGAUUUAUAUAUCCUCUGCUCCUGCUUUUCCACUGAGCAGUCUGAGCGGGCUCCGGGGAAUGCUCCUGUAGAUGCAAAAGUUAUGAAGGCGGCAGGUUGGAAGAAUGUCCUGUCUGAAUUUAUUUUAAACUUGUUUAACGAGUUCUUUGUUACUAGUGCAAAAGCUAUUUUGAUUCUGAAGUACUGCAGUGCAGACUGUUCUGCUUUUGUGUGGUUGGUAUCCCAACAUCUUACUGCAGCAGAUAUUUGAGUUGCAAACUUGCAAUUUUUCGCUCUAUGGGGCCAACAUCGGCGUGAGAAACAAAUAUAAUAUCAUCUGUAGUGCUACUUGUUCCUGGGGGCACAAUAGCAUGAUGACUCUAUCUAGUGGAAUCUCUGAUGUUGAAUUGGUGAUACCAGUUUUUGUUUGUAGCUUAUGCAGUGAAUGAGGUUGGUUCAUGUUGACCAUGCUAGUCUCUUUGAAUAAAAGAUAUGUGGCUUUUCCUUUUUUGUUACUUUAUUUUAUUCCGGAUCCCCCUGUCUUAUAAACAUACCUCGAGGAAUCUGCUUUCUAAAGCAGGUGUUCUGAGUUAUUUUGUUUUCCGUAUGGAUUCUUGAUGAUUUUGAGGGUCUGGAUCUAUGAGCUCGUAGAAAUACUGAAUCCCUUGUAAAUGGGUUGUGGUUUCAGCCUCAUUUCCGAGCUGACUAGAUGAUUUUUUUUUUUGUCAUGAGGGCUAUUCUAAUCCGUCAGCCUGAUGAUUAGCAUCUUUUUUUGCACAAAAAUCUGAGAUCUGAAUGUGCUUUCCGUCGAAGCCUGCUUGACCGCCGUGGUGGGUCAUCUGAGCCACUGAGCUCAGCUCGGUGACUCCCUUGCUACUCCCUCCAUUCCAACCCUGUUCUUUUCGUGAACUAAACAAGGCCUUAUAUGAGUAGUUUUCUCUCAGGGAAACUACCAACUACUAGUACUAUGCACAUGCAUGUAUGGAGUAUAUAUAUAUCCUCGCUCUUCUUCCACCACUGAGCUGGCCGAGCAGGCUCCGGGAGAUGCAUCUGUAGAUGCAAAAGUUAUGAAGGCUAUCAAAGAUUGGAAGAAUGCCCUGCUUAAAUUCAUUUUUAACUUGUUUAACAAGUUCUUUAUCACUAUCUGAAGCUGUUCCUAUCAUAAAGCACUGCAACGCAGCCUGGGCUGCUUGUGAUUUGGUCAGCAUCGUGUUAAUGAUUUCGCUUUAGCUUGACUGCUAUUUGAAGUACAAACAUGCAGUGUUUUACCCUAUUGGCAAAAUUGGCAAGCAAAGAAAGUUGCAUCUGCUGUGCUCCUGGUUCAUGGGGGCACAACUGCAUGAUGACUGUCUAGGGGAAUAUUUGAUGCUAAUGCUAAUUCAAAUUUUCUUAUAUAGCUUACAAGGUGGAUAAGUUAAUGUGUGUACAACCAUGCUAGUGAUAGGUAUCCUUUUGAAUCGGAGUAAUGCAUUUUAGAUUUUUUUUAUGGCCAUAAAACUUUUCUGGCAUCUCAUCUGUGAUUGAGAUAAGCCAUUUUAGCUUGGGUGUUGGUUGCCUGGAAUUAAGUUACUGUCUAUUGAUUCUUUCCUAUAAGAAACAUGUCUGCUAUCGAGCUGCCAUAUUUCACCACUUCACUGCAUAAGAAAAAAUGGCAGAUCGUGAGAAGAAAGACAAGAACAUCUGCAGUGUCGUCAAUUCAAUUUCGUUAUGCAAAAGUAUGAUGACUUGGGGGAAUCUCCAAUGCUAAUCUUGCAAUAUUCUUUUUGGAAAUCCUAUUUAUUUUUUUGCAAGGUGUGCCCCUGUUUUGUUUCUCCCCCCCCCCCCCUUUUUUUUUUUGCUUUAGGUGCACUUUGGAGGAAUUAAUGUUUGGUAUCUUCUUGAGAGUUGCCAUCACAAAUUCACAACAUUUGACUGCAUAAAAACGGAUAGAUCGCAAGAAGCAGGACAAGGACAUCUGCUGUGUUCCCAGUAUGACGUAAUUGCAUGAUGACUGUCUUGGGGAAUCUCUGAUUCCAAUAUCAGAUUCAACUUAUUUUCUUGCAACUUGUCUCUUAUCUUGUGACCAUGUUUGGCUUUCUGCUCUUUUUGAAGCUGGCUUCUCCAAUGCUGUCGAUCAUAUUCCAAGUAUCAGUCCAUCCUUAUUUGCUUUGACCAUCCUGGCUGUCCCUGAAGUACAAUUGCAUUUUGUGCUAAAGGAAGAUUGUUUCUGAAAUGCCAAUGCUUAGUAUUUUGAUUUUUUUUUGAGUUUCUAUUCAUUUUGGAGGCAAGUAGUUCAAUGUUUUGGUAUUGUUAUGGGGUAGGCAUUUUGGUAUACCAGCCUGAUGAUUAUGUCGUUUGCAUUAAGAAUGGAGAUCUGAAUGCAUUUACCCCUUUGAAGCCCGCUAGGCCACUCUGGUGCUGCUGCUGGUGGUGCUGCUGAUGGUACUACUACUGCCUUCUCAGCCACCGUCAUCAUUGUCUGUCCCUAUCCCUGUUCCUCUCCUUCUCUGGCUGCUUGUUUGAUGCCUACCUCUGUGUGGAUGUGUGUGUGUGUGAUUCUGUGAACCAAGCUGGCUUAAGUGGGCACCGGGGAAUGCAUAUGCAGAUGCAAGGUUUAUGAAUGCGGCAAGAAUGCCCCGUAACCGAACAAUUUUGUCAUGUAAAAGUAAUAUCUCUGUAAGGUUGGUGUUUUUACUUUUUUUUGUGGCAACCCUGUUUAAUGAAUAGUUGCCCUUUCUUAACUGCAAUGCCAUUGACCUCUAGUUUCACUGCUUAUUCUUAGGUGUAUAAAACAAAUUUUGGAGUUGUGUAUUGUCAAAUCUUCUUUUCCAUCUGGAUUUGGAUCUUAAGUUACAGGUCUCGUAGUGGUUUAUGAUUCAAGGUUGGAAUUUGUUGAAGUGAACCAGUGUUUGGAAUGGCAACAUAGUUAGGUACCCUGCAUUGCAAACAAGGCGAGAUGAAAUGAACAUUUAUGACCAUUCAUUUAAUUUAAUAGAUGGGCAGGUGCUUGUUAGACCGUGGAUGUAACUAGUGCUAGUAUAGACACAUUCGUUUAACAGAUGGGUGAGUGCUUGUUAGACUGUGGAUGUAACUAGUGCUAGUAUAGACAAACUUCUAGAAAUUGGCAUAAUGCAAACAUAAAGUCUCCAGGUUACAUAGAUACUAGCUUUAGUUUCAGUGUUUGGCCUUGUUUGGAUCCAUUAGUGCUAAUAGUUAUUGGCUAGCAGAGGGAAGCUAGCUAAUAUCUUUUUAUUAGCAGGACAAUUAGCUAAUCUAUUAUUUGAGCCCAAUUGGGAUCCUCCAUUUAAUACUCCCUUCAUUCCCAAAUAAAUCAACUUUGAAAGUUGUAAGUCAAUUUUUUGUAAGUUUGACCAACUUUAUAUGAAAGAAUAUCAACAUUUAUGGUAACAAAUAGAUAUACUAUGUAAGUAUAUAUUAUGGUGUACCUAAUGAUACUAGUUCUGUGUCAUAAAUAUUGGUAUCUUUGUUAUAAGUUCUGUUAAACUUACAAAAGUUGAAUUAGGAGAACUUUAGAAGUUGAUUUAUUUGGGGAUGGAGGUAGUAGUUAGUGCUACUUAGCUUGGGGAAACCAGUCAAUGACUUUUUAUUAGCUAGGUAAGUAGAUAGUUUAUUCUGGGUUAUUAGUUGUACUAUUAGUUAGGAUGUUUGGAUCCACUAGUGCUAAUUUUAGCUACUAAAAAUUUGUCAUGGGGAUGUUCUGGUGAAUCUGGUCUGCGUGCUUGAUGAUUACCUUUGCACUGAGAAUGAAAAUUUGAAUACACUUGUUCGUUGGCGCCAACUUGGCCAUGGUGGUCGAUCGUGUACUGAAUAUACUUGUUCUAUUUUGGACGUAUUUUCUGUUCUUUCUACACGCAAGAGGUCAAUUCGUUUUAUUUGUGAUACUAUUUACACUUUUGGGACAGUUUUAUACCAUGAAAAAGUCCAUUUUAGCUCUUUUGACUAUUGUUCUAGUCUGAUUUUUUCGCCUCGAACUCUAAAAAUCGGACAUCUUUCCUCUUCAUCUCUCUAAACUAUUUAAAUUACCUUUUUGCCAUGCCUAGAAGUGGUUUCUUAGACUAGUUUAAUUUUUUUAGUUUUAAAAAGAAUUCAAUAAAUACCUAAUAAGGUUUAAACCACAAAGAAUAUCUCUGAGCUUAACAAAAUAUUUUGAGAUCAUGAAUGUAUCUCUAAAAGCUUAAAAAAACUAGAUUUAGCUCUAGGAAAAUGAGAAAAUUAUCCAAAAAAAUAUAUGAAGUUCUCAAACUUUCCACAAUAAAACAUGAGAUGCGACUAACAUGAAUGCAAAGUUGGAAUGAAGUUGCACUCUUGCUAGGUGCAUCUAAUAUUUUUGUUGUGGAAAGUUUUAAAAUGUGUUUAGAUAUUGAUUAAUGUUUUUUGAAAUAUCUAGAUUUUUUUCUAUAUAUUUUACCAUUUCUAGAGCUACAUCUAAUUUUUGGAAGUUUUUAGAUAUAUUUUCAUGAGCCCUAAAUAUUUUAUUUGGGUUUGUAGUGUCCCAUUUUAUCCCUAGGUUUUUCUUGGAAUUUUUAGAAGCUUAUAGACCUUUUUUUUUUCUGGUUUAAAACCCAUAUUAGGUAUUUAUCUGAUUUAUUUAACUAAUAAAAAGGAUGAAACCAAAAACACUUGCAAACGCGGCAAGGGUUAAUUUAAAUGGUUUUGAGAGCGGAUGAGGUAAGAUGUCUGAUUUGAAGAUCAAGGAAAAAAAAUCAAACCAUAAAAUAGUUUGAGAGGUAAAAAAAAGUUUUUUUUUUCUAAAUAGUAAGUUUGUGUUUGGUUAUAUUGGCUAGGCUAGCCAAACGAACAGGGUGCAUCUGGGAGGACAUUUAAAGUUUCCCAAUUUUAGUAUAAGUGUGAUAUCGUCUCCUGGUGUCCUUAUUUUGCUUUAGGUGUUUGUUGGAGGAUCUAUGUCUGCCAUGCAUCUGGGAAUUAAAAUAUGCCAAUGUCUCACCAUUUCACUUCAUAGAAACAUCAAACAUUGAUAGAUGACGAGAAGAUCUUCGGUGUUCCCUGGAUCAGGGAUGCAAUAGCAUGAUGAUCCCAGUCUAGGGGAGUUUCUGAUGCCAAUAUCAGGUUCUUUUGCUUAUUUUCUUGCACAUUGUCUUUUUUUUUUCCUAUGAUCAUAUUUGGUUUUGGGUGUUAUUCGAGUAUUCUUCAUUAAUCUCAGGCUUUUUUUGUUUAUUUCGUUUUCCCUUAUGACUAUUAAGUUGUAGGGGUUAGUAGAUGGGUAGAUGCUUGUUAAAUCAUGGAUUGGUUUAAGCAAGUUAUUCUUGUUUCAGAGUUUGUCAUGGUGUGUUCUGAUUUGGCAUCCUGAUAAUUACCUCUGCACUAAGAGUGGAGAUUGGAAUACACAUAUUAGUUGAUGUCGGCUUGGCGUUGUGUUGGAUCAUGUACUCCCUCCGAUUCCAAGUUUAAGUCCAAUUCCAAGUUUAAAUCCAAUCCAUCGAGCUAUCCAUGCAUAUUUUACUCUGAUUUUCUUCCACAAAGCUGGCUGAGUGGGCUCCGACUAGGAUGUGUGUAGGUAAAAUAGGAAUUGAGGCUUUGACAGACAUUCCUGUAGUACCUUUGUAUGCGCAUAAGAUUAUUUGUGCAUAACUGCCAUAUGUAGUGCCUGGAAAAAGUUCUGAUUUAUUUGGUUUUAUUUUUGAAGCUAGUAGUUCAGUGUUUUGGUUUUGUUAUGGGGCAUUCUGAUAUUCAAGCCUGAUGAUUAAUGGUAAUUUGCAUCAAGAGUGAUGAUCUGAAUGCAGUUUUCCUGUUAAUGGAUGUGCCUGGCCACUCUGGUUGAUGGUAUGCUGCUGCUGUGCCUCUCAUGGGUCGUCGUCGUCAUCAUCAUCAUCUCUCUCUCUCUCUCUCUCUCUCUCUCUCUCUCUCUCUCUCUCUCUCUCUCUCUCUCUCUCUCUCCCCGCCCCCCCGGGAUGAUUGUCUGGAAAAUGUAUAUGUUGAUGCAAUGAUUAUGAAGGCUUGCCAGAUAUAAGAACCCCCCUGAUCGAACAAAUUUGUUUUGUUUUUCUCAAAUCCGCAGGAUAGCUGUGCAUCGUUGCAACAUUUUUUUUGGUUAUGGGUUGUCUCUAUGAGCUUGAUUUUUACUCUCUUUUUUUGGCAAGCAGAUUUUCCAACAUUGCAGUUAGCCAUUCUUUUUCUAUUUUUUUCUUUUUGAUUAAAGCAAAUUAUGGAGUUGUGUUGGUCUUGUCAAAUUUUGUCAUCCAAUCUGAUCAAUUCUUGAAAUUAUGUGAUUUUUCAAGAUUGGGAUCUACUCCGUAGUUUGUAGCCACAGUGUGCCAGUUCAUAAAUAGUUGAUGAUUAUGGUUACAAUGUGGGAUGACAACUUAGUCAAGUGAUCUGCAUUACAAAUAAGAGAUGAAAUGUUUUAAACAAGAAUGAAGAACCAGGCUGGCUAGAUGGAUCAAGCGACGUGAAAUUGAAACUAAUUGAACAAAGGUUGCUUGGUAAUCGUGCAUCUGCAUCUAGGCAUGUAUUGUGUGAGAGGCAGGGGAAGAUCAAUGAAGCUUAUAAGAAGCUGCAGGAUGGAUGGCUGACAAUGGGCACAAAGUCCCUUCUGUUCAGUUUGCUAAGGUCGCUGGGUACCUCAAGGGCUCAUUUCUUGUUUACUGGACAGUUGAUAUAUUCUGGUACAACACAUCCUGCCUCAUAUCCUGCCAACUCUUCAAACUAUUAAUGAGUUUGUCAUUGGGCCAAUGAAAAUUCUUGGAUGCUCCAAAACAGCUCUUACUUUCCUUUUCUAUUCAUUAGACUAGGUGUCUUAUGUAAGAUGUUUCCUACUUAGUCAUAUUGUAGUAUAUAUACCUAGCACAUUUUCUCCAUCGUUACAAUCUUUGCCCUGCCUACGCGCGCGAUGGCGCGCGCC